CACCCCAUCGCCCUCUGCCAAGAGGACACAACCGUUCACGCCUGGAUAUGCAGCUCCACAGAUGCGUUGACCUCUGGAGGCCGAAUUACAGUCCGCUUAUGAGAAGCAGCGGUGUUGAGCUCAGCUCGCUAAAAAUGCAACAUCCAAAAUAACGUCGUCAGGAACUUCACUCCCACGAGAUGCUUGCUGGAAGAGGAUCUUUGGUCAUAUGAGGAAACCAAGGGUCAGCGAGGCCGCAGAGUGGCUCUCCGUUACUGAGAUUCCAAAUCCUUUGACGCAACCACACUUCAGCUGCCUCCCUGCGGAUGGAAAGACCCGUAUAAGAGACUGACUCCUCUGUCUGCCAAGGGGAUGCUUCCUUUCCUCAAAGAGACCCCGCUGGAUCCCAACGGGACCAGCCUUGUGCCUAGCGGAUAACCAUCAAUAAGAUGAUUGGAGAAACAUGGAGGAAAAGCCUUAUCCUGAAACAGCCUCUCGCAUGCAGACGUCACAGGGUCUCGGGGUCCACCACCGGGAUUCAUGCUGUGAUCACACAUUAUAUAUGAUACAGUAUUCCUGAACAGCCUCUCAUCCAGGUACUUACCAGGCCUAGCAAACUUUAGCUGUCAAUGUAAACUUGUUCGGGGGGUGGGGUGGGGGCACAUUUCAAGGUCAUAUAGCAUUUUCACGCUUUACUAAGGUGUUUUCAUGUCCAACCUCAUCUCUGUUUCAUUCUCUGGGAGCCCCCUGAAUCCUCCCCAUGCGGGUAUGGGUUGGGAAUGACCCUGUCCGUCUCUGGUCCAGCCCUGAGCAGUUCUCCCUGCAUUGGCUGAUGGUGGAAAUGGGUAGAGGAGGUCAGUGUGACAGCCCAGUCCACACAACCCCGUCAUAGACAGGCAUCAAUACAACCAAGUCAGAACCCUGUGGCUCUGCGUCAUUGGUGGCUGUGAGGAUGAUCCACGGGGUGUCAGACCUGGAUCAGACUCACUAGCUCUUACCUAAGUUAGCUUUGCCUCUUUCUCCUCUCAGUUUCUUCAUCUGUAAAAGGGAAUUGACCACAGUGCGGUCUCCCAGAUCAUCGUGCCUGCCGUCUCCAGCACUGACAAUAGGCACUCCUUAAUUCCUCUAGGACGGGUCUGGGAGGCCCCACAGCCCUGGAACUUUCUUUAGCCCUGCAGGGGACUCGGGGAUCAUCUGGCACAGUGCACGGUUUCCAGACUUUUAGAUGUCAACCAUUAAUAAAAAGGAAAACAAACAAAAAAUUGGACCAGCCAGAGAGGUCUUGACAUUUUACUUGCAGGUAAGAGCCCCCCAAAAUAAGUGUAUAAGACUACAAUCCACCAUCAUUUUUAUUUCAUAAAAGAAUCUUAACCAUCCUGUUUUUUUUUAAGAAAAAAAGGAGGAAGGGCAUAAUACCCAAAUAAGUUUAGCUUUGUAAAAAAAAAAACUCUUCACGAUGUCUUUUUUUUUUUAAUUUUUUUAAAAUUUAUUUUUGCGUGCGAGAGAGAGAGAGUGAGGGAGGGGCAGAAAGAGAGAGGGGGACAGAGGAUCUGAAGCAGGCUCUAGGCUGACAGCAGAGAAAACCAAUGAAAACAUCACAGACCAGUACUAGGGAACCUCAGAUCUUCAUGCGUUGGAUGAGGCAACCGAAGCGUAGCAAGGUGAAGUGACAUGCCCAAGGUCACAAAGUGGCUGCAAUGUCUCAUUCUAUCUAGCGAAACACUUGUGGACGUGAGAUCCCCUCCUGUGGCCCAGACCGGUGCCCUGGGCUGGGAGUUAGGAGGUCUGGGCUCUUCUACAGCCAUUUGUCCUGAAGCCACACUUUCUGCCUUUUCCACUUGUCUAAAACGGGGAUGAAAUCAUCCCGUCACUCAAGACUGGUGUGAGAACCUGAUGAGAGAAGCGUUUUAAAAGUGCUCUGGAGAUGUGUAUCAGGGUAUGAGAGUGAGGUACUAGGAGCGAAAAGUCCUGCCGUCCUGCCUGUGACUUGCUCACUUGCUCGAAAAUACUUCCGCCAACAAAAACAGGUGGAGCAAAUAUGGCACCAUAUUAACCAUGAUUAAAUCUACGUGGUGGGUAUUGCCAGGCUAGCCUCCCCACUUUUCUACAUACUUGAAAAUUUUCUUAAGCAUUCCAUCAUUUUUUUUUUUUUAAGUGCUCUGGCAAGGUAAAUGGAAGGGGACGGUAUUACUCACAGAGAAGACGCCCUCAGGGAGAUCCAAGUCCUGGGCUCUGCGGCCAGGUGGGGUCUACCACCCCAGGAGAUGGAGCAGCCCACUCUUCACCAGCCCGGGGCACAAAGAGCCAUGGUCAGGAAGUGAUUGGCUUCCUCCCCAGGCAGGCCUGGUGCCUGUGGCCGGGUGAGGGAAGCCUCCCGCCCACCCCUUCUCAGUGCAAGGCACCAUCUGACAGACCCAGCCCUGCAGCGGCCACCGGCAGUGGGGACCUUGGGGGCUGCCUAGCGCAGCCAACCGCUGUGGGGGGCUUAUGAAUAUGCAGAUAGAGGCCAGAGCUGGUUGGCUGCCACCCGCCCCCUGCCAUCUCCUACCCCCACCCCAACUUAGAUGCCCAGAAAAGCCAGCCGAGAGACCUUCCUGAAAGGCCAUCUCUUCUGCCUUUUCUUAAAAAUUGGGGGACUUAAUUACCCAGCUUCUCCCAUUGCACUCACUGGCCUUCGGGGAGCUCCUGACCUCUGCUUCCAAAUUCCCCAGCGAGGCUGCUCCAAAGCGAACAUCAUUCUCCCUGUGCCUCAAGCAUCCUGAGGAUACUAAAACCGGCUCGGCACCAAAAUAUGGCAUCUUGGCUGUGCGGGAAGGAGUGGCUGUGUGGCUUCUCCUUUUAGCAGAGGUCUAAACACUGUUGGGGAGGCUGUUUGCUGGGCCAAAAGCCUCCAUCUGUGACAGAGCUGGGGAGAACUCACUGGCCAAAUCCACCUACCCCCAGACAUCACUUGAAUUUUGCCAUCUUCUCCUCCUUCAGUUUGGGAAGUGGAGUGUAUGUUAUGAUAUACGGCAAUGAGAAUCAAUGAACUACAGCUCAACUCAACAUGGGUAAAUCCUCAAAACGCACUGUUGAGUGAAAGAAGUAAGUCACAGAAUGAUACAGAUGCUGUGAUCCCAGUUACAUUACGUUUAAAAAUAGGCCCAACAAUGUCUACAUUUUUAUUGAGUUUCAUCCAUCCAUUAUUAAUUACAAUUGAACAGAAGGGUAUCUGGGUGGCUCCGUUGGUUAAGUGUGUGACUUCAGCUCAGGUCAUGAUCUUGUGGUUCGUAAAUUCGAGUCUUGUAUACUUAGUUUGGGGGGCUCUUACCUGCAAGAAAAGUGUCAAGACCUCUCCAGCUGUGCUGACAGCUCAGAGCCUGGAGCCUGCUUCAGAUUCUGUGUCUCCCCUCUCUCUCUGCCCCUCCCCCGCUUGCUCGCGCGCGCGC